GCAGCUAACGCUUUAAGCACUCGGCUUGGGAGUACGGCCGCAAGGCUGAAACUCAAAGGAAUUGACGGGGGCCCGCACAAGCGGUGGAGCAUGUGGUUUAUUCGAAGCAACGCGAAGAACCUUACCAGGUCUUGACAUCCUCUGACAACCCUAGAGAUAGGGCUUUCCCCUUCGGGGGACAGAGUGACAGGUGGUGCAUGGUUGUCGUCAGCUCGUGUCGUGAGAUGUUGGGUUAAGUCCCGCAACGAGCGCAACCCUUGAUCUUAGUUGCCAGCAUUCAGUUGGGCACUCUAAGGUGACUGCCGGUGACAAACCGGAGGAAGGUGGGGAUGACGUCAAAUCAUCAUGCCCCUUAUGACCUGGGCUACACACGUGCUACAAUGGAUGGUACAAAGGGCUGCAAACCUGCGAAGGUAAGCGAAUCCCAUAAAGCCAUUCUCAGUUCGGAUUGCAGGCUGCAACUCGCCUGCAUGAAGCCGGAAUCGCUAGUAAUCGCGGAUCAGCAUGCCGCGGUGAAUACGUUCCCGGGCCUUGUACACACCGCCCGUCACACCACGAGAGUUUGUAACACCCGAAGUCGGUGUAGGUAACUUCC
rnacentral:rRNA from 4 species